GAGUUGCUCUUGACUUGCUCUGCACGGCGGGCUCCCUGCACUUUGGUGCGGCCAACCGCCGUGGGGCUGUCUUUUCACUAUUUCUUCCGCUGUGCCCUAUAAGCCUGGGAAGAAUGCUCGGAUUCGGUCGCCUGUGUGGUUGUACCCUUGUGUGGUAUGUUCUCGUUGGACUGUAAUGCCUGUGUUGUUGCUUGCUUCUAUUGACAGGCGCAGCUGUUUCGAUGGCAUAGUGCAUCUGCGGUUUUGGGCGAAUGUCCUUUUGUUGCACACGCAUUAUGUCAGCUCUCAUGGAUUCGGUGCCCAUCGAGGAUUCCAUGGGCCUUUGUCCUGUGGAUUUCUUCGGGAUGUCCCUUGUGCGUGGAUUCAUUACUUUGCUGCUCCGCUCUCGUCUUAACAAAUGUUGGGAUGUUUGAGCGGGUGCUCGCAGGGUGUGCUCUUGUGCAUGCGAGAUGCCUGUCCCAUUGAAAUAAAGGAGCGAUUGUCGUAUGCCGUCGUUUGAAAGCACACCCCCGCCAUGGUCUUUGUCACAGAGAUGUGGGGUGUGCCGGAAGAUGGCGCGUCGACCCUCGUAUAAGACGUGCUACCUGGUUGAUCCUGCCA
rnacentral:misc_RNA from 1 species